rnacentral:rRNA from 1 species
GAUGAACGCUGGCGGCGUGCCUAAUACAUGCAAGUCGAGCGAACGGACGAGAAGCUUGCUUCUCUGAUGUUAGCGGCGGACGGGUGAGUAACACGUGGAUAACCUACCUAUAAGACUGGGAUAACUUCGGGAAACCGUAGCUAAUACCGGAUAAUAUUUUGAACCGCAUGGUUCAAAAGUGAAAGACGGUCUUGCUGUCACUUAUAGAUGGAUCCGCGCUGCAUUAGAUAGUUGGUAAGGUAACGGCUUACCAAGGCAACGAUGCAUAGCCGACCUGAGAGGGUGAUCGGCCACACGGGAACUGAGACACGGUCCAGACUCCUACGGGAGGCAGCAGUAGGGAAUCUUCCGCAAUGGGCGAAAGCCUGACGGAGCAACGCCGCGUGAGUGAUGAAGGUCUUCGGAUCGUAAAACUCUGUUAUUAGGGAAUAACAUAUGUGUAAGUAACUGUGCACAUCUUGACGGUACCUAAUCAGAAAGCCACGGCUAGCUACGUG